rnacentral:lncRNA from 1 species
GAUGCAUUUUGGGUAUGUCUGGUUGGUUGGUUGGUUUUAUUGUUUUUUUUUUUGUUUUUUCUUUUCUUUUUCUUGGUUUUUUUCCCCCAAGGGUGGUGGGGUGAGGAUUGUGAGCUCUUUUUCUUGCCUUGUUAUGUCAGAUAUAUUGUUGUCUAAAUGUGGUGGUUGGUACCUGUACAAGUUGUUUGGAGUGAGCUACUCUGAAGGUUGAUGCUUCUACAAUGCUACUGCAUCCUUUGUUGAUCAUGUUUAGUUUAUCCUGUUCUUUUCAGUCUUCUUGCCCAAAGAUUGUUUUUUCCUCUUUCGGCUAGCUGGUGCUAUGCAAUCUGACUAUCAAAGCAGGACGCACUUCUGCAUGUUAGGUGGUUGUUGAUGAGAUUGCGGUUCAUUUAUUCCUCUGCACCGGUGUUGAUUAAGGCAUCAUGUGUAGAAUUGAUGCAAGGGCCUGUUUCCUUGUGGGCCUAGUCCAACAAAGAUGGGCCUAGAAUGGCCACUCAGGCCACUCUCUCAUAUGCCUAGCAUGAGGGAGGAAGACUCAAGAUCAAAAUCGUCUUCUUCGAUUUUGAUGGAGAAGAAUAGUCCUGGAAGGCUCAUAGGACUCAAAUGAAAGCCGUAGGAUGUAGCCUAUAAAUUUUCCUCCCUUCUUCAUCCAAGUAUUGCCCUAAUCUUUUGCUCAAACUACUGGCGAAAUUCAUGGGAUUUAUUCAGUUUUUUAUCGAGCAUUUUGGAUAAGCCACUGUCAAUUUAUUAUCGGAGUUGUCGUAUUGCUCUUUUAUUCUUGUUCAAUUUUUUUUCUUUCUUCUGGAUCCUAAAAAGACUUUGAUGGCCUGAUUGAGCCAUUAGCUCUGGAUUGAGCCUUCUAUUCUUGUUUUUUUUUCUUCCACCAAGACAACCAUCCUUGUGAGACAUGACUGUGAUCGGAUAGCCUAGGUUAGAGCCACUAUCGUCAGCCAUUGGGGUUGGGGUUACUGCUGCUAUGAAAGGUGGUCGGUCUGAGAUUUUUUUUUUUUUUCCUGUGAGAAGAAGAGAAAAAAAUUAGAGAAAC